GUAGGUGGCAAGCGUUGUCCGGAAUUAUUGGGGCGUAAAGCGCGCGCAGGCGGUUUUUUAAGUCUGAUGUGAAAGCCCACGGCUCAACCGUGGAGGGUCAUUGGAAACUGGAGAACUUGAGUGCAGAAGAGGAGAGCGGAAUUCCACGUGUAGCGGUGAAAUGCGUAGAGAUGUGGAGGAACACCAGUGGCGAAGGCGGCUCUCUGGUCUGUAACUGACGCUGAGGCGCGAAAGCGUGGGGAGCAAACAGGAUUAGAUACCCUGGUAGUCCACGCCGUAAACGAUGAGUGCUAAGUGUUAGAGGGUUUCCGCCCUUUAGUGCUGCAGCAAACGCAUUAAGCACUCCGCCUGGGGAGUACGGUCGCAAAGACUGA
rnacentral:rRNA from 1 species